rnacentral:rRNA from 1 species
AAAAGCCUGUUUGGUUGUGUCUGUCUGUUGAAUCGGAAUUCUUACGAGUCUAGUUGUUUGAGAGUACAACUUAAAGCUGGUGGUAAAUUUCAUCAAAGGCUAAAUAUAUGAGGGGACUAAUAGCGAACAAGUACCAUGAGGGAAAGUUGAAAAGAACUCUGACGAGAGAGUUCAACAGUGCGUGAAACCAUAUUGAGUAAAACAGAUAACUGUGUCGUUAUGCGAUGUGUCUAUCAACAGUACGUCGAGUAUUGCGAUGCGGUGAGCGUGAGCUGUUCAUUCAGACGAUCGCGUGCCGUUAGCAUAGCUUGGAGUUCUGUGUACUAGUGCAUAUCCAAUCAUUGAGAAACUAUGCUACUGCGGCAUCGGUGAACAUCAGACCCCGCCUAGCGGGAAGUUGUCUACUGGGCUCUGCUGGCGGCGUAGUUUAGCUGUGUGACAGCUGUGAUACGCGUUUGUCGAAUGUUCCUGCUUUGUCUGCAGAUUGGUUUAUUCCUUUCUGCGGUGAGUAUGGUACAGUAGGCGAGCGUAUCGCCAUCAAUGAUUGACAUUAGUUAUUUGACCCGUCUUGAAACACGGACCAAGGAGUUCAAAUGGCACGCGAGUCAUUGGGUUUAAUCACCCGAAGGCGAAGUGAAAUGCAAACGUAUCGUUACUCGCAGUU